UUGCAAAUCAGCAUGGCAGAAACCUCUUUGCUUACCUUGUCCUGAGCUUCCUGGAUGUGCACUGAUGUGGGACAAGAAGGCAAGUUAUGUUACAAUGAAGAUUAGCCAGACUAGAAGAACUAUGUAUUUCUGUUUCAACAAGAGGACAUAACAUUUCUGAGUUGACUCAGUGAUGUGAUAUGCUGGAGAGAACAACAAAUGAAAACAACCUAGGUAUUCAGAAAGGUAACUGAACAUAUACCUUUAAUGUAUUAGAACACAGAAAAUAGUAAGGUUCCUGGGA
rnacentral:lncRNA from 1 species